rnacentral:rRNA from 1 species
CCUACGGGAGGCAGCAGUGGGGAAUAUUGGACAAUGGGCGCAAGCCUGAUCCAGCAAUACCGCGUGUGUGAAGAAGGCCUUCGGGUUGUAAAGCACUUUAAGCAGGGAAGAAAAAAACUCAAACUAAUAUUUUGAGUCUUGACGGUACCUGAAGAAUAAGCACCGGCUAACUCUGUGCCAGCAGCCGCGGUAAUACAGAGGGUGCAAGCGUUAAUCGGAUUUACUGGGCGUAAAGCGUGUGUAGGUGGUUGGGAAAGUCAAUUGUGAAAUCCCCGGGCUUAACUCGGGAACUGCUUUUGAUACUGUCUGACUAGAAUUCGGUAGAGGGAGGCGGAACUCCAGGUGUAGCGGUGAAAUGCGUAGAUAUCUGGAAGAACACCAAUGGCGAAGGCAACCUCCUGGGCCUGAAUUGACACUGAGACACGAAAAGCGUGGGGAUCAAAACAGGAUUAGAUACCCUGGUAGUCCACGCCGUAAACGAUGACAAACUUGACGUCGGUUUGCUCUGCGAAAUCGGUGUCGUAGCUAAACGCGAUAAAGUUGUCCGCCUGGGGGAGGUACGGCCGCGAGUAGAACGUAACAAAGAAAGUAGUAGGCGNGAGACGNGCCGACGGACGACGACGAGGGAGGAGGAG